rnacentral:rRNA from 1 species
AUGGCCGUCGCCGCCCUCGUCCGCUCCUCCGCGCGCCACCGCCCCGCCGUCGCCGCCGCCCUCCUGCGCUCCACCGCCGCGCUCCCCCGCAGCUCCCCCGCCCCCACCAACUCCAGCGCCGCCCUCCUCUGCCCGCGCCGCUUGCUCUCCGGUCCCGCCCGGGCGCAAAUCAACACCGAGAUCUGCCGGGUGGAGGCGGCCAUCGCGGCGCGCUACGACUCCGCAUCGAAGAGAGUCGAUGAGCUCUCCGCCAACGUUAACAAGCUGGGCCAGGCAGUGGCGCAGCAGGACUACAACAUCACGCUGAACCUGGGCGAGACGUCGUUCAAGGUCGCCUUCAUCGUUCUCAACUCCGCGGUCCUCCUGGGCCUCGGCUCCUACACCAUCUUGUACACUCUGGGAGGCCGGUCUGCGAGGGCAGAAGCCUCUGCUCUCGUCGAGGGGAAGGUUGGCGAGCUGGAGGCCGAGCUCGUCAACAAGAUCGAGGGGCUGUACAAGGACCAGGAGAAGUCCAACAGUGAGGCCAGAUCGAGCCUCAACAAAAGGGAGGCUGCAAACAAAGCCAAGGAGCUCGACCUCAUUGCAAGGGAGAGAGCCCUCCAGGGGGGCAAGUGA